rnacentral:tRNA from 1 species
GGCAACUUGGCCGAGUGGUCUAAGGCGACAGAUUUAGGCUCUGUUCUUCGGGCGUGGGUUCGAACCCCACAGUUGUCAUCA